GACGAGCGCUGGCGGCGUGCCUAAUACAUGCAAGUUGAGCGCUGAAGGUUGGUACUUGUACCAACUGGAUGAGCAGCGAACGGGUGAGUAACGCGUGGGGAAUCUGCCUUUGAGCGGGGGACAACAUUUGGAAACGAAUGCUAAUACCGCAUAAAAACUUUAAACAAAAGUUUUAAGUUUGAAAGAUGCAAUUGCAUCACUCAAAGAUGAUCCCGCGUUGUAUUAGCUAGUUGGUGAGGUAAAGGCUCACCAAGGCGAUGAUACAUAGCCGACCUGAGAGGGUGAUCGGCAACAUUGGGACUGAGACACGGCCCAAACUCCUACGGGAGGCAGCAGUAGGGAAUCUUCGGCAAUGGACGAAAGUCUGACCGAGCAACGCCGCGUGAGUGAAGAAGGUUUUCGGAUCGUAAAACUCUGUUGGUAGAGAAGAACGUUGGUGAGAGUGGAAAGCUCAUCAAGUGACGGUAACUACCCAGAAAGGGACGGCUAACUACGUG
rnacentral:rRNA from 1 species